rnacentral:rRNA from 1 species
AUUGAACGCUGGCGGCAUGCCUUACACAUGCAAGUCGAACGGCAGCACGGGUGCUUGCACCUGGUGGCGAGUGGCGAACGGGUGAGUAAUACAUCGGAACAUGUCCUGUAGUGGGGGAUAGCCCGGCGAAAGCCGGAUUAAUACCGCAUACGAUCUACGGAUGAAAGCGGGGGACCUUCGGGCCUCGCGCUAUAGGGUUGGCCGAUGGCUGAUUAGCUAGUUGGUGGGGUAAAGGCCUACCAAGGCGACGAUCAGUAGCUGGUCUGAGAGGACGACCAGCCACACUGGGACUGAGACACGGCCCAGACUCCUACGGGAGGCAGCAGUGGGGAAUUUUGGACAAUGGGCGAAAGCCUGAUCCAGCAAUGCCGCGUGUGUGAAGAAGGCCUUCGGGUUGUAAAGCACUUUUGUCCGGAAAGAAAUCCUUGGCCCUAAUACGGUCGGGGGAUGACGGUACCGGAAGAAUAAGCACCGGCUAAUUACGUG